rnacentral:rRNA from 1 species
GGAAUUUUCCACAAUGGGCGAAAGCCUGAUGGAGCAACGCCGCGUGAACGAUGAAGGUCUUCGGAUUGUAAAGUUCUGUUGGUAGGGACGAACAAGUACCGUUCGAAUAGGGCGGUGCCGUGACGGUACCUACCGAGGAAGCCACGGCUAACUACGUGCCAGCAGCCGCGGUAAUACGUAGGUGGCAAGCGUUGUCCGGAAUUAUUGGGCGUAAAGCGCGCGCAGGCGGCUAUGUAAGUCUGGUGUUAAAGCCCGGAGCUCAACUCCGGUUCGCAUCGGAAACUGCGUAGCUUGAGUGCAGAAGAGGAAAACGGUAUUCCACGUGUAGCGGUGAAAUGCGUAGAGAUGUGGAGGAACACCAGUGGCGAAGGCGGUUUUCUGGUCUGUAACUGACGCUGAGGCGCGAAAGCGUGGGGAUCAAA